GAGUUUGAUCGUGGCUCAGAUUGAACGCUGGCGGCAGGCCUAACACAUGCAGGUCGAGCGGAUGACGGGAGCUUGCUCCUUGAUUCAGCGGCGGACGGGUGAGUAAUGCCUAGGAAUCUGCCUGGUAGUGGGGGACAACGUUUCGAAAGGAACGCUAAUACCGCAUACGUCCUACGGGAGAAAGCAGGGGACCUUCGGGCCUUGCGCUAUCAGAUGAGCCUAGGUCGGAUUAGCUAGUUGGUGGGGUAAUGGCUCACCAAGGCGACGAUCCGUAACUGGUCUGAGAGGAUGAUCAGUCGACACUGGAACUGAGACACGGUCCAGACUCCUACGGGAGGCAGCAGUGGGGAAUAUUGGACAAUGGGCGAAAGCCUGAUCCAGCCAUGCCGCGUGUGUGAAGAAGGUCUUCGGAUUGUAAAGCACUUUAAGUU
rnacentral:rRNA from 1 species